GGGGUAAAAUUAAUUAAUAAAAUUAAUUAAUAAAAGAAAUUUUAAUAUUAAAAAAUAUUUAAUGGGGGUUAAAGUAUUUUUAAUUGAAAAAAUUUGAAAUUUUAUAGUAAAUUAGUAUUGUGGGGGAAAUUUGAAAUAAUAAUUUAAAUUAAAUUAAUUUGAAAGUAAAUUUUAUUUGUUGUAUCUUGUGUAUCAGAGUUUAUUAAAAAUUUUUUAUUUAAAUUAAAUUUCUCGAAUUUAAAAGGGCUAAUUAAUUAAUAAAUUUAUUGUUUCAUAAAUAUUUUAAAUAAUUAAUUAGAAAUGAAAUGUUAUUCGUUUUUAAAUAUAUCUAGUUAUUUUAGAAAAAAAUUUAAUUUUUAAUUUGAAUUUAAAAUUAAUUAAUUAAUUAAUUAAUUUUAAAUUCAAAUUUAAUAUUUUAAGGGAUAAGCUUUAAUUUAAAUUUUUAUAAUAAAGUGAAUAAAAUUUGAAAAUUUUAUAAUUUAUAUUGUUAAUAAAUUUUAAUUUAUUAUAAAUAAUUUCAAUAAAAUUGAAAAUUUAAUUUUAAAUUUAAAUUUUUAUAAAAAAAAAUUUUUUAAUUAUAAAAAAUUAGUUAUAAUGAUAAAAUUAGUAUAUAAGUAUUGAAAUUGAAUUAUAAUCAUAAAUAAUUAUUUUAAAGGAAUUCGACAAAAAAUUAUAUUCACCUGUUUAUCAAAAACAUGUCUUUUUGGUUAAUAAUUUAAAGUCUAAUCUGCCCACUGAUUAAAUAAUUAAAGGGCUGCAGUAUAUUGACUGUACAAAGGUAGCAUAAUCAUUAGUCUCUUAAUUGGUGACUUGUAUGAAAGAUUGGAUGAAAUAUAAAUUGUCUCUAAAAUAUUUAUUAGAAAUUAAUUUUUUAAUUAAAAAGUUUAAAUAAAUUAAAAAGACGAGAAGACCCUAUAGAGUUUUAUAAUUAAUUGUUUUUAAGUUUUUAAUUAAUUAGUUUUAAAUUAAAAAAUUAAUUAAUUAUUUUAUUGGGGUGAUAAAAAAAUUAAUUAAACUUUUUUUAAUUUUUAACAUAAAUAAUUGAUUAAAUGAUCCAAUAUUUUUGAUUAUAAGAAAAAAUUACCUUAGGGAUAACAGCGUAAUUUUUUUUUUUAGUUCAAAUAAGAAAAAGAGUUUGCGACCUCGAUGUUGGAUUAAGAUAAAAUUUAAAUGCAGAAAUUUAAAAUUUUGAUCUGUUCGAUCAUUAAAAUCUUACAUGAUCUGAGUUCAAACCGGUGUAAGCCAGGUUGGUUUCUAUCUUUUAAAUAAUAUUAUAUUUUAGUACGAAAGGAUUAAAUAUUAUAAUUAAAUUAAGUUAAAUUGAAUUUUAUUAAAAUAAAAAUAAAUUUA
rnacentral:rRNA from 1 species